rnacentral:rRNA from 1 species
CGUCGAGCGGCGAACGGGUGAGUAACGCGUAGGAAUCUACCUAGUAGAGGGGGAUAGCCCGGGGAAACUCGGAUUAAUACCGCAUACGCCCUAAGGGGGAAAGCAGGGGAUCUUCGGACCUUGCGCUAUUAGAUGAGCCUGCGUCGGAUUAGCUAGUUGGUAAGGUAAAGGCUUACCAAGGCGACGAUCCGUAGCUGGUCUGAGAGGAUGAUCAGCCACACUGGAACUGAGACACGGUCCAGACUCC